UACAAUGAUUUUAUCACAAUUGACCCUUAGCCAGGAGUUUGAUUGACAAGCGAUCUAACCAAUCAUAACGCCGGAUCCGCCAUUUUGUCCGACAAAGCAGUCAGGAGUUAGAAGAUUAACCUCGGUGGACUUGAAAUUGAAAAAUGGUGAUGCAGUAAGCACAGUGAAGCAUGCGGACACAGUGAAGCACAGUGUCUAUGCGGAUGAGGAAGAUCACAAGGCUUUCACAAGACCUCCCAACAUGGCCUGGGUGCAGUAUGCCUUCAGCGAGGACGGUCUGUGGCAUUCGCAUCAAGGGCUCUCAUGCCUACUGAAUCCCGUUAUGCUCAGAUUGAAAAAGAAAUGCUGGCACUCGUGUUUGCGACAAAAAAAUUCCAUGAUUUUAUCUACGGACGGCCAGUCACUGUAGAAAUUGAUCAUCAGCCCUUGAUAACCAUAUUAAAGAAGCCACACCACACAGACUCACCCCGCUUACAGGGUAUGAUGAUGAAACUGCACCGCUACCACCUAGAUGUGAUCUUCAAAUGUGGUAAGAAGCUGUUUGUGGCUGAUGCAUUGUCCUGGGCCCACCUUUCCACAUCUGAGCCACAACUCACUGAUGACCUGCUGGAAGUCAUGACUAUGCUGCUUGGUUUGUGUGCAACGAGUUUUCAGAUUUUGCGCACACAUGGGACUUUAAGCACAUUCGCAGCAGCCCUUGCUAUCCUCAGUCCAAUGGGCUGGCUGAGCGGGCAGUCAGAUCUGCCAUGCACCUUCUGGAAAAAUGCUACCAUGACAAUACUGACAUCCAUGCUGCCCUUCUUCAUCUUCGGAAUCUUCCCCGGGAUGCCUUACCUUCCCCUGCACAAAGACUGCUUUCCAGGCAAACAAGGACCUUCCUCCCAGUGACGAAGCCCAUGCUUCACCCUGUUGUCCAAACUAACGUAAAAGAAACACUCACAAAACAAAGAAUGAGGGGGAAAGACUAUUAUGACAGAAAUGCACAUCAGCUCCCUGCUCUGAAGCUGGGGCAAACUGUCAGGAUGCAAACAGCACAUGGUUUUGAGCAACCAAAUAGCCCAUGUAACAGCCUCAGUCCCCUAAAGUGGCACUGACACAGACAACAAGUGUUCACUGGUGACUCGUUCUGGAAGAGUCAGCCGCCCUAACCAACAUUACAAAGACUAUGUUUUGACCUGAUUGAUAUGUGUUAUGCAAAUCUAGUUCAUUAUCAUUCUUGUUCAAGCAUUAUGUAAUUUUGCUACGGAAACAUUCCCCUUAUUGCACUUAUUCUUUGUUAUCAGAUGUCUUGUUGUUGAUUGUAUUUAACGUUGCUAUUUUCUCACUAGAUUGUCUCCCUCUGGAAGAAGGGGGAUGUAGCAUUAUGUGUGGUUUCACUUUAAGUCACGGCCUCAUGUGAAUGACGUCAUUAGGCAUGGCUGGGAUAUAGAGGCGUGUGUAAUAAAAGAGAACAUGGUGGUUUUGGAUCAA